rnacentral:rRNA from 1 species
GACGAACGCUGGCGGCGUGCCUAAUACAUGCAAGUUGAGCGCUGAAGGUUGGUACUUGUACCGACUGGAUGAGCAGCGAACGGGUGAGUAACGCGUGGGGAAUCUGCCUUUGAGCGGGGGACAACAUUUGGAAACGAAUGCUAAUACCGCAUAAAAACUUUAAACACAAGUUUUAAGUUUGAAAGAUGCAAUUGCAUCACUCAAAGAUGAUCCCGCGUUGUAUUAGCUAGUUGGUGAGGUAAAGGCUCACCAAGGCGAUGAUACAUAGCCGACCUGAGAGGGUGAUCGGCCAAAUUGGGACUGAGACACGGCCCAAACUCCUACGGGAGGCAGCAGUAGAGAAUCUUCGGCAAUGGACGAAAGUCUGACCGAGCAACGCCGCGUGAGUGAAGAAGGUUUUCGGAUCGUAAAACUCUGUUGGUAGAGAAGAACGUUGGUGAGAGUGGAAAGCUCAUCAAGUGACGGUAACUACCCAGAAAGGGACGGCUAACUACGUG